AACGUAGGGGACAAGCGUUAUCCGGAUUUACUGGGCGUAAAGCGCCCGUAGGCGGCCUGACAAGUUGGACGUGAAAGCUCCUGGCUUAACUGGGAGAGGCCGUUCAAAACUGUCAAGCUAGAGUCUGGAAGAGGAGAGCGGAAUUCCCGGUGUAGUGGUGGAAUGCGCAGAUAUCAGGAAGAACACCCGUGGCGAAGGCGGUUCUCUGGGACGGUACUGACGCUGAGACGCGAAAGCGUGGGGAGCGAACAGG
rnacentral:rRNA from 1 species